rnacentral:piRNA from 1 species
UGCCAGAUUUGCAGCUGGAGAAAGGCUGAAGA